rnacentral:rRNA from 1 species
UACGUAGGGUGCGAGCGUUAAUCGGAAUUACUGGGCGUAAAGCGUGCGCAGGCGGCUUACUAAGACAGGUGUGAAAGCCCCGAGCUUAACUUGGGAAUGGCGCUUGUGACUGGUAGGCUGGAGUGUGGCAGAGGGAGGUGGAAUUCCACGUGUAGCAGUGAAAUGCGUAGAGAUGUGGAGGAACACCGAUGGCGAAGGCAGCCUCCUGGGCCAGCACUGACGCUCAUGCACGAAAGCGUGGGGAGCAAAAGGG